rnacentral:pre_miRNA from 1 species
AUCAUACUCCCUUCAUCCAACAAAGGAUGUCUCAAAUUUUACUAAAUUUGAAUGCAUCUAUACACUAAGUCAUAUCUAGAUACAUCCAAAUUUUGACAAACUUGAUACAUUUUUUGUUGGACGGAGGGAGUAGAAG